CGCAGGUAUAAAUUUAUCUUGAUCGCAGUAUGGCUCAGACACCUUCAGACACGGGACAUUAUAAUGACAAAGGGAAACAUGUGACUUAACCUUAUGCAAAAGGUGUAGGUUCAGAUAAUAUUCAGCUAGAAUGGGAAACUGACAAUGAACUCGAACAGGGUCACUGAUUUGAGAUUUACUAUAAAAUACACAACGAGGGAAGAUGUGUUCAAUAUCUGUCGGAAACACCAUGUAAGUUUACGAGGAUCUUAAUAGAAAACCUACAACCACAGACCAGUUAUAUUUUUAAGAUUAAGAUAGUCAGCGAAAAAACAGAAUUUGAAGGUCCCUCGAGUCUCCUGAGCGACAAAAUAACAACAAAUGAAUCAGCUAUAAACAAUUUGUUGAGCACAACCAAAAUGAUUUGUGACACUACGAUAAAGCAGUACCAAUUACCACUUACAGAAAACAAAGAAGCAAGAAAUGAACUUUUUAAGACAAGGAAAUACUGCAUAGGAGACGAUGCAGUUUCUAUCAUAGACCAGACAGUCAUAUUAGUUGGAGCAACAGGUUCAGGUAAAACAACGUUGAUAAAUGCUAUGGUUAACCACAUCGCUGGUGUGAAAUGGGAAGAUAAGGCACGCUUAGUUUUAAUACCACCAGGAAAAGAGGGUAUU